GAGCCUCUGGCCCCCUUGGCCCCAUUGGUCUCUGUGCAGGAGGAACAAUUUCAGGCGCCUUCAAGAAACCCAGCUUAAGAGGGAAAAUUAGAGGCUUGUCGUCCGGUCGCUCUGCUCUGGGAGCUGAUCUAAGGAUGUACAGACCCAACUCAGUGAAUUCCGGCUGCCCUACUUGGAGGCGAUGUAGCUAUUCCCAAUUUAAAAAGAACCAAAGCUGAAAACCUAUGUCCACAGACAAACUUGUGCAUGAGUGUCCGUUGCAGCAUUACUCAUAAUGGCCCCAAAUGGAAGCUGCCCAAAGAGCCACUGACCCGUGAAGAAGGGACACACAGAUGUGGUGUCCACACAAUGGAGUAUUAUUCGGCCCUGAAAAGCUAUGCAGUUGUGAGGCAUGUUGCAGCGUGGAAGAGCCUGGAAAACACACUUUGGUUCCCGACUUAUAGGAAGAGGUUUCUAGACUCAGCAAGACACAGCCCUUCACCGUGCAUCCCUAUUAAACACACAUUAAAGAGCGAGGAAAGUUAAGCAGGCUGGUGAGGUGUUGGAGGCGCUGUCAGGUUUGUGCU